CAAGCGUUGUUCGGAAUUACUGGGCGUAAAGGGCUCGUAGGCGGCCAACUAAGUCAGACGUGAAAUCCCUCGGCUUAACCGGGGAACUGCAUCUGAUACUGGAUGGCUUGAGUUCGGGAGAGGGAUGCGGAAUUCCAGGUGUAGCGGUGAAAUGCGUAGAUAUCUGGAGGAACACCGGUGGCGAAGGCGGCAUCCUGGACCGACACUGACGCUGAGGAGCGAAAGCCAGGGGAGCAAACAGG
rnacentral:rRNA from 1 species